AGUAACACGUAGACAACCUGCCCCGAUGUGGGGAAUAACAUCUCGAAAGAGAUGCUAAUACCGCAUAAGUUCUCUAUUGUUAGGUAGAGAGGAAACGCUUUCGGGUGGCAUUGGGAGGGGUCUGCGGCGGAUUAGCUAGUUGGGUAGGUAACGGCUGCCCAAGGCGACGAUCCGUAGCUGGUCUAAGAGGACGAUCAGCCACACUGGGACUGAGACACGGCCCAG
rnacentral:rRNA from 1 species